AGUGAACGCUGGCGGUAGGCCUAACACAUGCAAGUCGAACGGCAGCACAGUAAGAGUUUGCUCUUACGGGUGGCGAGUGGCGGACGGGUGAGGAAUACAUCGGAAUCUACUUUUUCGUGGGGGAUAACGUAGGGAAACUUACGCUAAUACCGCAUACGACCUACGGGUGAAAGCAGGGGAUCUUCGGACCUUGCGCGACUGAAUGAGCCGAUGUCGGAUUAGCUAGUUGGCAGGGUAAAGGCCCACCAAGGCGACGAUCCGUAGCUGGUCUGAGAGGAUGAUCAGCCACACUGGAACUGAGACACGGUCCAGACUCCUACGGGAGGCAGCAGUGGGGAAUAUUGGACAAUGGGCGCAAGCCUGAUCCAGCCAUACCGCGUGAGUGAAGAAGGCCUUCGGGUUGUAAAGCCCUUUUGUUGGGAAAGAAAAGCAGCAGGUUAAUACCCCGCUGUUCUGACGGUACCCAAAGAAUAAGCACCGGCUAACUUCGUG
rnacentral:rRNA from 1 species